UAAAUCGACCGCCUGGGGAGUACGGCCGCAAGGUUAAAACUCAAAUGAAUUGACGGGGGCCCGCACAAGCGGUGGAGCAUGUGGUUUAAUUCGAUGCAACGCGAAGAACCUUACCUGGUCUUGACAUCCACAGAACUUAGCAGAGAUGCUUUGGUGCCUUCGGGAACUGUGAGACAGGUGCUGCAUGGCUGUCGUCAGCUCGUGUUGUGAAAUGUUGGGUUAAGUCCCGCAACGAGCGCAACCCUUAUCCUUUGUUGCCAGCGGUCCGGCCGGGAACUCAAAGGAGAC
rnacentral:rRNA from 1 species